UACGGGGGGAGCAAGCGUUGUUCGGAUUUACUGGGCGUAAAGGGCGCGUAGGCGGCCACCGCAAGUCGGUUGUGAAAUCUCCGGGCUUAACCCGGAAAGGUCAACCGAUACUGCGGGGCUAGAGUGCAGAAGGGGCAACCGGAAUUCUCGGUGUAGCGGUGAAAUGCGUAGAUAUCGAGAGGAACACCUGCGGCGAAGGCGGGUUGCUGGGCUGACACUGACGCUGAGGCGCGAAAGCUAGGGGAGCGAACGGG
rnacentral:rRNA from 1 species